rnacentral:piRNA from 1 species
UGUUUUCUCUUUCCCAAGAUCCCCUGC